rnacentral:rRNA from 1 species
CCUACGGGAGGCAGCAGUCGAGAAUCAUUCACAAUGGGGGAAACCCUGAUGGUGCGACGCCGCGUGGGGGAAUGAAGGUCUUCGGAUUGUAAACUCCUGUCAUGUGGGAGUAAAUUACAAAGAUAGUACCACAAUACGAAUAGACUGCUAACGCUGUGCCAGCAGCCGCGGUAAUACGGAGGACUCAAGCGUUGUCCGGAAUCACUGGGCGUAAAGGGUGCGUAGGCAGGGUCGUAAGUCAGGUGUGAAAGGCGCGGGCUCAACCCGAGGACGGCAGAUGAUACUGUGAGACUGGAGUUAAGGAGAGGGAGCCGGAAUUCUGGGUGUAGCGGUGAAAUGCGUAGAUAUCGAGAGGAACACUCGUGGCGAAGGCGGGUUGCUGGACAGUAACUGACGCUGAGGCCCGAAAGCCAGGGGAGCAAAAAGGAUUAGAUACCCCUGUAGUC